rnacentral:lncRNA from 1 species
AUGAGUCACAAUAUGAGUAACAAUAUGACUCAAAAAAUAUAAAUAUUAUUAGGGCCAAAUACAUGAAUAAUAUGCUCACAAUAUUAUGCCUGCUCCCAAUAUGAGUACCAACUAAACGAGUGCAUUAAUAUGAUCCAUAGUGAAAAAUAAUGUAAAAUUUAUAUGUUUCUUACCUCGCUCUCCAACCAUCCAUGGCGUUGCAAAAUGACAUCAAACCACUCAGAAUCUAAAACACGCAGGAGUUUGAUCGGAAGCCUACGAUCAUAUCGGCUACAAUUGCAAAUGAGUCAAAACAAUAUCAGUCAAAAAUGG